AACGAACGCUGGCGGCAUGCCUAACACAUGCAAGUCGAACGAGACCUUCGGGUCUAGUUGCGCACGGGUGCGUAACGCGUGGGAACCUGCCCUUAGGUUCGGAAUAACUCCCCGAAAGGGGUGCUAAUACCGGAUAAUGUCUUCGGACCAAAGAUUUAUCGCCUUUGGAUGGGCCCGCGUUGGAUUAGCUUGUUGGUAGGGUAAAAGCCUACCAAGGCGACGAUCCAUAGCUGGUCUGAGAGGAUGAUCAGCCACACUGGGACUGAGACACGGCCCAGACUCCUACGGGAGGCAGCAGUGGGGAAUAUUGGACAAUGGGCGAAAGGCUGAUCCAGCAAUGCCGCGUGAGUGAUGAAGGCCUUAGGGUUGUAAAGCUCUUUUACCCGGGACGAUAAUGACAGUACCGGGAGAAUAAGCUCCGGCUAACUCCGUG
rnacentral:rRNA from 1 species